ACUUUUCUAGUAUAAUUAAGUACAGCUGACUUCCAAUCAUCUAGACUCAGACUAAAACUGGGGAAAAGUA
rnacentral:tRNA from 1 species